GACGAACGCUGGCGGCGUGCCUAAUACAUGCAAGUUGAGCGCUGAAGGUUGGUACUUGUACCGACUGGAUGAGCAGCGAACGGGUGAGUAACGCGUGGGGAAUCUGCCUUUGAGCGGGGGACAACAUUUGGAAACGAAUGCUAAUACCGCAUAAAAACUUUAAACACAAGUUUUAAGUUUGAAAGAUGCAAUUGCAUCACUCAAAGAUGAUCCCGCGUUGUAUUAGCUAGUUGGUGAGGUAAAGGCUCACCAAGGCGAUGAGACAUAGCCGACCUGAGAGGGUGAUCGGCCACAUUGGGACGGAGACACGGCCCAAACUCCUACGGGAGGCAGCAGUAGGGAAUCGUCGGCAAUGGACGAAAGUCUGACCGAGCAACGCCGCGUGAGUGAAGAAGGUUGUCGGAUCGUAAAACUCGGUUGGUAGAGAAGAACGUUGGUGAGAGUGGAAAGCUCAUCAAGUGACGGUAACUACCCAGAAAGGGACGGCUAACUACGUG
rnacentral:rRNA from 1 species